UACGGGGGGGGCAAGCGUUGUUCGGAAUUACUGGGCGUAAAGGGUUCGUAGGUGGCCUGCUAAGUCAGACGUGAAAUCCCUCGGCUCAACCAAGGAAGUGCAUCCGAAACUGCUGAGCUUGAGUACGAAAGAGGAUCGCGGAAUUCCCGGUGUAGAGGUGAAAUUCGUAGAUAUCGGGAGGAACACCAGUGGCGAAAGCGGCUACCUGGCCCAUUCUUGACGCUGAGGCGCGAAAGCUAGGGGAGCAAACGGG
rnacentral:rRNA from 1 species